ensembl:lncRNA
CCAGUAUGUUUAUUAAAACACAUAUGAACUUUACAUAUGAACUUUACAUUUGAACUUUAUAUAUGAACUUUAGCUGCAUUGCACAACACAGACGUGAUGCCAGACGUGAGCUUAUUUAUUUUCAUUAUCCUGACAUUCAUUCAUCCACACAAUGUAUUUUAUAAAAUGUAUUUACACAAACUGCUAUUAGAGCCUUUAUAUAGUCACUUCGUGAGCCCAGAGUGUAAUCUAGAUCAUUUAAUGUACAUAGAUUAUUUCAUGAACAUAAUGAUCUGUAGAUGAAUGAAUCCCUUUAAAAUGAGCUGCUGACUGAUUGGUAAAAAUAAAACAGAUUUUUUAAAUAUUUUUAUAUUUUUAAUCAAAAAGUCAUAGAUUCAUUACCAUCAGUAAAACCUUCUACGAAGCAGAGAGUACGUGGCAGGUUGUAUCUCUAUCCGUACUGCCGUCAGGUCAUUGUGCUGUUCAGAUCUCUGUAGCGUCCCAAAUGGCAUUCUAUUCCCUAUAUAGUGAUAUUCCCCCCCACCACCACUGGGCCCUGGUCCAAAGUAGUGCACUACCAUUUGGAAACACAGACCUUUUGUGUAUCAAGAAAACACUGAUUGUCAAGAAGAGAAAAAGAGAUGACCCGUCUGUAAAAUAAGCAGCAGAAGGUUAAUAUAGUAAGACAGAUCAGAUCAGGAAGUGGAUUGCAUAGUGAACCCUUUAAUUAAGGAGAAGAUAUUCAAAUAUUAAAAACGACCACCAACUGAAAAGAAGACGUGCAGAAAAAAAUCAAAAAGUUAUUAAGGCAAAAUGUUUCAACAUUCAUAACAUGGCACAUUUAAGAAGUCCAAUAGUGACUGGAUUUCCAGCUCUUUCUGGUCAUUGUGUCUGUUUAAAACACACUGGUAUUAAUACAGGAUAAGCAUUUUUAGAAGCCUGAUAAGACAUUAUAAAAGGCUCAUGCUAAUAACACCUUAUCAUGUGUUUUAACCUGGAUGCUGUCAGUAAAGUGGAACCAAAAACAGCUGAAGUAUUAAAUGACUCAUUGUAAUGUGCAUUUCUCUAAGUUCUUGCUUAACCAAACAACACAAGCCUUUCCUAGUAUGACAGAACCAAUCAUUCAUUACAGGACUAAAGUGAAACUAGGUGGUGGAGUAGAAAUGUGUAAAACAAACACACCACGAAAACCUCAUGCAUUGCAGUGGGUCACCCAAUCACUGAUGUCUAAUGUUCUUAGUGAGAGCAGCCAUUCACCCAAUCACUGAUGUCUAAGGUUCUUAGUGAGAGCAGCCAUUCACCCAAUCACUGAUGUCUAAGGUUCUUAGUGAGAGCAGCCAUUCACCCAAUCACUGAUGUCUAAUGUUCUUAGUGAGAGCAGCCAUUCACCCAAUCACUGAUGCCUAAUGUUCAUAGUGAGAGCAGCCAUUCACCCAAUCACUGAUGUCUAAUGUUCUUAGUGAGAGCAGCCAUUCACCCAAUCACUGAUGCCUAUCUUAGUGAGAGCAGCCAUUCACCCAAUCACUGAUGUCUAAUGUUCAUAGUGAGAGCAGCCAUUCACCCAAUCACUGAUGUCUAAUGUUCUUAGUGAGAGCAGCCAUUCACCCAAUCACUGAUGUCUAAUGUUCUUAGUGAGAGCAGCCAUUCACCCAAUCACUGAUGUCUAAUGUUCAUAGUGAGAGCAGCCAUUCACCCAAUCACUGAUGUCUAAGGUUCUUAGUGAGAGCAGCCAUUCACCCAAUCACUGAUGUCUAAGGUUCUUAGUGAGAGCAGCCAUUCACCCAAUCACUGAUGUCUAAUGUUCUUAGUGAGAGCAGCCAUUCACCCAAUCACUGAUGUCUAAUGUUCUUAGUGAGAGCAGCCAUUCACCCAAUCACUGAUGUCUAUGUUCUUAGUGAGAGCAGCCAUUCACCCA